AUCAUUUUAUCUCUGAAGAGGAAACAGCUGUGCCUCUCUUGACAGCCAAGCUGGCUGCAGAAGACAGAAUGUUUGUUUUAAGAAGAGAACAAGUGAUGCUCCAUUCCUCUGUAAACUCAAAAGGGCACAUUACCAUCAUUCUCCUGACGUUAAAAGCUUUUCCACAAACUGUCACUGUCUUUCAACCACUGUGAUUUCCACUGCAAAAAUCCAAUAAGAGCUUCCCUGUGACUCAGACAGUAAAGAAUACACCUGCAAUGCUGGAGACC